AUUGAACGCUGGCGGCAUGCCUUACACAUGCAAAUCGAACGGUAACGGGCCUUCGGGUGCCGACGAGUGGCGAACGGGUGAGUAAUACAUCGGAACGCGCCCGAUCGUGGGGGAUAACGAGGCGAAAGCUUUGCUAAUACCGCAUACGAUCUACGGAUGAAAGCAGGGGACCGCAAGGCCUUGCGCGGACGGAGCGGCCGAUGGCAGAUUAGGUAGUUGGUGGGAUAAAAGCUUACCAAGCCGACGAUCUGUAGCUGGUCUGAGAGGAUGAUCAGCCACACUGGGACUGAGACACGGCCCAGACUCCUACGGGAGGCAGCAGUGGGGAAUUUUGGAUAAUGGGCGCAAGCCUGAUCCAGCCAUGCCGCGUGCAGGAUGAAGGCCUUCGGGUUGUAAACUGAUUUUGUACGGAACGAAAAGCCUUCUUUUAAUACAGGAGGGUCAUGACGGUACCGUAAGAAUAAGCACCGGCUAACUACGUG
rnacentral:rRNA from 1 species